rnacentral:rRNA from 1 species
GACGAACCGUGCGAACGUUAUUCGGAUUUAUUGGGCUUAAAGAGUGCGUAGGUGGCAGUGUAAGUCGGGGGUGAAAUACUAUCGGCUCAACCGUGGAAUUGCCUUCGAAACUAAUUGACUAGAAGAUGGUAGAGGAAGGUGGAAUUCCAAGUGUAGAGGUGAAAUUCGUAGAUAUUUGGAGGAAUACCGGCGGCGAAGGCGGCAUCCUGGACCGACAUUGACGCUGAUGAGCGAAAGCUAGGGGAGCAAACGGG